UACGGGGGGAGCAAGCGUUGUUCGGAUUUACUGGGCGUAAAGGGCGCGUAGGCGGCCAGCACAAGUCAGUUGUGAAAUCUCCGGGCUUAACCCGGAAAGGUCAACUGAUACUGUGCGACUAGAGUGCGGAAGGGGCAACUGGAAUUUACGGUGUAGCGGUGAAAUGCGUAGAUAUCGUAAGGAAGACCAGUGGCGAAGGCGGGUCUCUGGACAGUUCCUGACGCUGAGGCACGAAGGUCAGGGGAGCAAACGGG
rnacentral:rRNA from 1 species